rnacentral:rRNA from 1 species
AGAGUUUGAUCCUGGCUCAGGAUGAACGCUGGCGGCGUGCCUAAAACAUGCAAGUCGAGCGGGAACCUUGGAUUCGUCCGGGGGGAGAGCGGCGAACGGGUGAGUAACACGUAGGUGACCUGCCCCGAAGACGGGAAUAACUACCGGAAACGGUGGCUAAUGCCCGAUGUGCUCGGUGAUUCGUUUCGCCGAGUAAAAGCUCCGGUGCUUCGGGAUGGGCCUGCGGCCUAUCAGCUAGUUGGUGGGGUAAUGGCCCACCAAGGCGAAGACGGGUAGGGGGCGUGAGAGCGUGGUCCCCCACACUGGCACUGAGAUACGGGCCAGACUCCUACGGGAGGCAGCAGUUGGGAAUAUUGCACAAUGGGCGCAAGCUUGAUGCAGCGACGCCGCGUGGGCGAUGAAGGCCUUCGGGUCGUAAAGCCCUUUUCUGGGAGAAGAGACAAGGACGGUAUCCCAGGAAUAAGCUCCGGCUAACUACGUGCCAGCAGCCGCGGUAAAACGUAGGGAGCAAGCGUUAUCCGGAUUUACUGGGCGUAAAGAGCGUUGAGGCGGUUCCGUAAGUUGGACGUGAAAGCCCUCGGCCCAACCGAGGGAUGCCGUUCAAUACUGCGGGACUUGAGGACAGCAGAGGGAGGUGGAAUUCCCGGUGUAGUGGUGAAAUGCGUAGAUAUCGGGAGGAACACCUGUGGCGAAGGCGGCCUCCUGGGCUGCUCCUGACGCUGAAGGCGAAAGCUAGGGUAGCGAACGGGAUUAGAAACCCCGGUAGUCCUAGCCGUAAACGAUGGAUGCUAGGUGUGGGGGGUAUAGACUCCCUCCGUGCCGUAGCUAACGCGUUAAGCAUCCCGCCUGGGGACUACGGCCGCAAGGCUAAAACUCAAACGAAUUGACGGGGGCCCGCACAAGCAGCGGA